rnacentral:tRNA from 5 species
CGGCGUGUGGCGCAGCUUGGUAGCGCACUGUCAUGGGGUGUCAGGGGUCGUAGGUUCAAAUCCUAUCACGCCGACCA